rnacentral:rRNA from 1 species
UAUUGGACAAUGGGCGCAAGCCUGAUCCAGCCAUGCCGCGUGUGUGAAGAAGGCCUCCGGGUUGUAAAGCACUUUCAGUGGUGAGGAAGGGGAGUACGUUAAUAGCGUGCUUCAUUGACGUUAGCCACAGAAGAAGCACCGGCUAACUCCGUGCCAGCAGCCGCGGUAAUACGGAGGGUGCAAGCGUUAAUCGGAAUUACUGGGCGUAAAGCGCACGUAGGCGGUUUGUUAAGCAAGAUGUGAAAGCCCAGGGCUCAACCUUGGAAUAGCAUUUUGAACUGGCAGACUAGAGUUUUGAAGAGGGUGGUAGAAUCUCCAGUGUAGCGGUGAAAUGGGUAGAUAUUGGAAGGAAUACCAGUGGCGAAGGCGGCCACCUGUCAAAAACUACGCUAGAGCGAAG